rnacentral:other from 1 species
GACAGCCUGAGAUGCUAGUUGCUUCUAUAUUUUUGAACCUUCAUGACUUAAACGGGAGUCCGGGUUAAGUGGAAUGCUAUCGCGCCAACGGCUUCGGCCGAGCUUGGAAGAUAAAAGACCGCUGCAGGACACCCACCUGACGAAUUUGUUGGGUGUCAAAAAGGGAGCGACUCAUUUCAGGUUUAUU